AGCGCCGGCUAACUACGUGCCAGCAGCCGCGGUAAUACGUAGGGCGCGAGCGUUGUCCGGAAUUAUUGGGCGUAAAGAGCUUGUAGGCGGUUUGUCGCGUCUGCUGUGAAAGGCCGGGGCUUAACCCCGUGUAUUGCAGUGGGUACGGGCAGACUAGAGUGCAGUAGGGGAGACUGGAACUCCUGGUGUAGCGGUGGAAUGCGCAGAUAUCAGGAAGAACACCGAUGGCGAAGGCAGGUUACUGGGCCGUUACUGACGCUGAGGAGCGAAAGCGUGGGGAGCGAACAGGAUUAGAUACCCUGGUAGUCCACGCCGUAAACGAUGAGUGCUAGGUGUUAGACCCUUUCCGGGGUUUAGUGCCGCAGCUAACGCAUUAAGCACUCCGCCUGGGGAGUACGACCGCAAGGUUGAAACUCAAAGGAAUUGACGGGGACCCGCACAAGCGGUGGAGCAUGUGGUUUAAUUCGACGCAACGCGAGGAACCUUACCAGCGUUUGACAUCUUAGGAAUGAGACAGAGAUGUUUCAGUGUCCCUUCGGGGAAACCUAAAGACAGGUGGUGCAUGGCUGUCGUCAGCUCGUGUCGUGAGAUGUUGGGUUAAGUCCCGCAACGAGCGCAACCCUUGUCAUUAGUUGCCAUCAUUAAGUUGGGCACUCUAAUGAGACUGCCGGUGACAAGCCGGAGGAAGGUGGGGAUGACGUCAAGUCCUCAUGGCCCUUAUGACCAGGGCUUCACACGUCAUACAAUGGUCGGUACAGAGGGUAGCCAAGCCGCGAGGUGGAGCCAAUCUCACAAAACCGAUCGUAGUCCGGAUUGCACUCUGCAACUCGAGUGCAUGAAGUCGGAAUCGCUAGUAAUCGCAGGUCAGCAUACUGCGGUGAAUACGUUCCCGGGUCUUGUACACACCGCCCGUCACACCAUGGGAGUGGGGGAUACCAGAAGUAGGUAGGGUAACCGCAAGGAGCCCGCUUACCACGGUAUGCUUCAUGACUGGGGUGAAGUCGUAACAAGGUAGCCGUAGGGGAACCUGCGGCUG
rnacentral:rRNA from 1 species